rnacentral:rRNA from 1 species
GGUUAAGUUAACAAGGGCGCAUGGUGAAUGCCUUGGCACUAGGAGCCGAUGAAGGACGGGACUAACACCGAUAUGCUUCGGGGAGCUGUACGUAAGCUAUGAUCCGGAGAUUUCCGAAUGGGGCAACCCAGCAGUUUUAAUCAACUGUUACCACUAGAUGAAUUCAUAGUCUAGUUGGAGGUAAACGCUGUGAACUGAAACAUCUCAUUAGCAGCAGGAAUAUAAAGAAAUUUCGAUUCCCUAAGUAGCGGCGAGCGAACGGGGAACAGCCCAAACCAAAGUGCUUGCACUUUGGGGUUGUAGGACUGAACAUUUGAGUUACCAAAGAACUUGAUAGUCGAAGGAUUUGGGAAAAUCCGCCAUAGAUGGUGAUAGCCCAGUAGAUUAAAUCAAAUUCUCUCAGUUCAGGAUCCUGAGUACGGCGGAACACGUGAAAUUCCGUCGGAAUCCGGGAGGACCAUCUCCCAAGGCUAAAUACUACCUAGUGACCGAUAGUGAACCAGUACCGUGAGGGAAAGGUGAAAAGCACCCCGGGAGGGGAGUGAAAUAGUUCCUGAAACCAUGUGCCUACAAUAAGUCAGAGCGCGUUAAUGCGUGAUGGCGUGCCUUUUGUAGAAUGAACCGGCGAGUUAUGAUCCCGUGCAAGGUUAAGACUAAAAAGUCGGAGCCGUAGCGAAAGCGAGUCUGAAAUGGGCGUUUUGAGUACGAGGUUAUAGACCCGAAACCAGGUGACCUAUCCAUGUCCAGGUUGAAGGUGCGGUAAAACGCACUGGAGGACCGAACCCGUGUAAGUUGAAAAUUGCUGGGAUGAGUGUGGAUAGCGGUGAAAUUCCAAACGAACUUGGAGAUAGCUGGUUCUCUCCGAAAUAGCUUUAGGGCUAGCCUCGGAAUUAGGAUCAUGGAGGUAGAGCACUAUUUGGACUAGGGGCCCGUCUUGGGUUACUGAAUUCAGAUAAACUCCGAAUGCCAUUGAUUCAUAUCCGGGAGUCAGACGAUGAGUGAUAAGAUCCACCGUCGAAAGGGGAACAGCCCAGACCAUCAGUUAAGGUCCCUAAAUGUAUGCUAAGUGGAAAAGGAUGUGGAGUUGCAUAGACAACUAGGAUGUUGGCUCAGAAGCAGCCACCAUUUAAAGAGUGCGUAAUAGCUCACUAGUCGAGUGAUCCUGCGCCGAAAAUGUACCGGGGCUAAGCAUACUACCGAAACCAUGGAUGCGACCAUUAGGUCGCGUGAUAGGAGAGCGUUCUAAGGGCGGUGAAGCAAGAUCGUGAGGACUUGUGGAGCGCUUAGAAGUGAGAAUGCCGGUAUGAGUAGCGAAAGAUAGGUGAGAAUCCUAUCCACCGAAUGACUAAGGUUUCCUGGGGAAGGCUCGUCCUCCCAGGGUUAGUCGGGACCUAAGUCGAGGCCGAGAGGCGUAGACGAUGGAUAACAGGUUGAGAUUCCUGUACUAGUUAAGUGCGUUUGAGCAAUGGAGGGACGCAGGAGGCUAAGAUGUGCAUUCUGUUGGAUUAGAAUGUCCAAGCAGUAAGUCUUGUGAAGAGUCAAAUGCUUUUCACUUUAAGGACAAGCUGUGAUGGGGAGCGAAAUUUAGUAGCGAAGCGUCUGAUGUCACACUGCCGAGAAAAGCUUCUAGUGAGUACUUAACUACCCGUACCGCAAACCGACACAGGUAGUCGAGGAGAGAAUCCUAAGGUGAGCGAGUGAACUCUCGUUAAGGAACUCGGCAAAAUGACCCCGUAACUUCGGGAGAAGGGGUGCUGAUCGCAAGAUCAGCCGCAGUGAAUAGGCCCAGGCGACUGUUUAUCAAAAACACAGGUCUCUGCAAAAUCGUAAGAUGACGUAUAGGGGCUGACGCCUGCCCGGUGCUGGAAGGUUAAAAGGAUGGGUUAGCUUUCGGCGAAGCUCAGAAUUGAAGCCCCAGUAAACGGCGGCCGUAACUAUAACGGUCCUAAGGUAGCGAAAUUCCUUGUCGGGUAAGUUCCGACCCGCACGAAAGGCGUAACGAUCUGGGCACUGUCUCAACGAGAGACUCGGUGAAAUUAUAUUGUCCGUGAAGAUGCGGACUACCCGCGACAGGACGGAAAGACCCCAUGGAGCUUUACUGUAGCUUGAUAUUGAGUGUUUGUACAGCUUGUACAGGAUAGGUAGGAGCCAUAGAAACCGGAACGCUAGUUUCGGUGGAGGCGUUGGUGGGAUACUACCCUCGCUGUAUGACCACUCUAACCCGCACCACUAAUCGUGGUGGGAGACAGUGUCAGGUGGGCAGUUUGACUGGGGCGGUCGCCUCCUAAAAAGUAACGGAGGCGCCCAAAAGGUUCCCUCAGAAUGGUUGGAAAUCAUUCGCAGAGUGUAAAGGCACAAGGGAGCUUGACUGCGAGACAGACAGGUCGAGCAGGGACGAAAGUCGGGCUUAGUGAUCCGGUGGUACCGUAUGGAAGGGCCAUCGCUCAACGGAUAAAAGCUACCCUGGGGAUAACAGGCUUAUCUCCCCCAAGAGUCCACAUCGACGGGGAGGUUUGGCACCUCGAUGUCGGCUCAUCGCAUCCUGGGGCUGUAGUCGGUCCCAAGGGUUGGGCUGUUCGCCCAUUAAAGCGGUACGCGAGCUGGGUUCAGAACGUCGUGAGACAGUUCGGUCCCUAUCCGUCGCGGGCGUAGGAAAUUUGAGAGGACCUGUCCUUAGUACGAGAGGACCGGGAUGGACAUACCUCUGGUGUACCAGUUGUGCCGCCAGGCGCAUCGCUGGGUAGCUACGUAUGGAUGUGAUAAACGCUGAAAGCAUCUAAGUGUGAAACACACCUCGAGAUGAGAUUUCCCAUUCCUUUAUGGAAGUAAGACCCCUGAAAGAUGAUCAGGUAGAUAGGUUAGAAGUGGCAGUGCGGUGACGCAUGAAGCGGACUAAUACUAAUCGGUCGAGGACUUAACCAA